CGUUCCCGGGCCUUGUACACACCGCCCGUCACACCACGAAAGUCGGCAAUACCCGAAGCCGGUGGCCUAACCCUUCUGGGAGGGAGCCGUCGAAGGUAGGGUCGAUGAUUGGGGUG
rnacentral:rRNA from 1 species